rnacentral:rRNA from 1 species
GUGGGGAAUAUUGGACAAUGGGCGAAAGCCUGAUCCAGCCAUGCCGCGUGUGUGAAGAAGGUCUUCGGAUUGUAAAGCACUUUAAGUUGGGAGGAAGGGCAGUAAGUUAAUACCUUGCUGUUUUGACGUUACCGACAGAAUAAGCACCGGCUAACUUCGUGCCAGCAGCCGCGGUAAUACGAAGGGUGCAAGCGUUAAUCGGAAUUACUGGUCGUAAAGCGCGCGUAGGUGGUUUUGUAAGUUGGAGGUGAAAUCCCCGGGCUCAACCUGGGAACUGCCACCAAAACUGCAUGACUAGAGUACGGUAGAGGGUAGUGGAAUUUCCUGUGUAGCGGUGAAAUGCGUAGAUAUAGGAAGGAACACCAGUGGCGAAGGCGACUACCUGGACUGAUACUGACACUGAGGUGCGAAAGCGUGGGGAGCAAACAGGAUUAGAAACCCCUGUAGUCC